rnacentral:rRNA from 1 species
CUAGUGUACCUGUUGUGGCGCCAGCUGCACCGCAGGGUAGCUACGUUCGGUUAAGAUAAGCGCUGAAAGCAUCUAAGCGCGAAACUUGCCUCAAGAUAAGACUUCUUUAUAAGGGUCGUUAAAGACUAUAACGUUGAUAGGUUGCAAGUGUAAAGGCAGUAAUGCCAAAGCUGAGCAAUACUAAUUACCCGAAACUUUUAUUGAA